rnacentral:rRNA from 1 species
GGCGUCGAGCGGCGGACGGGUGAGUAAUGCCUAGGAAAUUGCCCUGAUGUGGGGGAUAACCAUUGGAAACGAUGGCUAAUACCGCAUGAUGCCUACGGGCCAAAGAGGGGGACCUUCGGGCCUCUCGCGUCAGGAUAUGCCUAGGUGGGAUUAGCUAGUUGGUGAGGUAAGGGCUCACCAAGGCGACGAUCCCUAGCUGGUCUGAGAGGAUGAUCAGCCACACUGGAACUGAGACACGGUCCAGACUCCUACGGGAGGCAGCAGUGGGGAAUAUUGCACAAUGGGCGCAAGCCUGAUGCAGCCAUGCCGCGUGURUGAAGAAGGCCUUCGGGUUGUAAAGYACUUUCAGUCGUGAGGAAGGUGGUAGUGUUAAUAGCACUAUCAUUUGACGUUAGCGACAGAAGAAGCACCGGCUAACUCCGUGCCAGCAGCCGCGGUAAUACGGAGGGUGCGAGCGUUAAUCGGAAUUACUGGGCGUAAAGCGCAUGCAGGUGGUUUGUUAAGUCAGAUGUGAAAGCCCGGGGCUCAACCUCGGAAUUGCAUUUGAAACUGGCAGACUAGAGUACUGUAGAGGGGGGUAGAAUUUCAGGUGUAGCGGUGAAAUGCGUAGAGAUCUGAAGGAAUACCGGUGG